CACGUAGGCGGUUGGGUAAGCCUCCUGGGAAAUCUCUCGGCUUAACCGGGAAAGUUCGGGGGGAACUACUCAGCUAGAGGGCGGGAGAGGAGCGCGGAAUUCCCGGUGUAGCGGUGAAAUGCGUAGAUAUCGGGAAGAAGGCCGGUGGCGAAGGCGGCGCUCUGGAACGUACCUGACGCUGAGGUGCGAAAGCGUGGGGAGCAAACA
rnacentral:rRNA from 1 species